UAUAUAUAUAUAUAUAUAUAUAUAUAUAUAUAUAUAUAUGUGGACAUUCGGAAAGAUGCCAACUGUGUGCCCCAUUUGCGGAAUCUCAAAACACCAGCUACUAAAACACAGAGAGAAAUAGUAGAAAAUCUAUUAUAGUAGACAUAAUAGACCUUAACUGUAUAAUUAACUUUUGCAAUUGUCAUAAAACCUCAUGAAUAUAUGCCAAUAGUGACGAUGAACUUGAAGUGUGUUGAGUUUUUCCCCAUGGUAGCUAUUGCAAAACUGUCUGGUCAGGGUUAGCUUCGGUCUCCUCCUCUCUCUUCUUCCAUCAGUGGACAACAUCUUGAGUUUGUCGGUGCCCAAAUUGACAAAAAACAUAACUAAAAUGUGUCCCCAAUCAGAUAUUUCGGUAACAGCUUCCUGUUUAUAUGUGGCAUUUUGGGGACUUUUCGACAUUCAAAAGAUAGCAGUAUUUUGUUUGAAUUGUUAAUUGCCAUGACAACAGUGCUAUUUUUUUUUCUAAAAUCUCUAGAAGUGGCUAUGAUGCACUAAGAUGUGGUACCAAUCCAAAAAGUGUAUUUAUUUCAACAUUGUGUAGAUUUUGUCUUGCCAUUUUAGGAUUUUUCACCCACUAAAAACUUUGAUUUCAGUACAACUCUAUAAACUACUAAAGUUGACAAAACACACUGUUAAACUGUCAAAAUUGUGAGUAAAAUAUUCUAUUUUUUGAUUGUAUUGUAUUUGUGGUAUUUAAAAAGCAAAUAAUAAAUGUAUAGAUAUUCAGGUAGGACUUCAACAUUGCAAUGCAAUACAAGUAAUUCUAUCUGACAUUAAUAUUAAAGUAAUUAGUAAGUUAUUUGCCAUCUUUAAUGCUACAUAUCAACUUUGCAACAUAGUUUUUUUUUCACUUUUGGUCUAGACAGAAUGCCCCGUGCUCUUAUUAGGUCCCAUUAGUGUAAGGAAGCCUUAAACUUGGCCCACACUGUCGCCCCUUUAAAGGAAUGUGUCUGGACUUUGGGGGGAGGGUCUCGGCUGGGGUCACUUUUCCAAGAAGACGAAGAGCCAUAGUAGAUAGUUACAGGGCUGUACAUUGCAUUAUUAUAGACAGGACAAAACAGGGACAUCAAAGCUAGUUAGUGGGUAUACCAAUAAAUUACUUUUCUUCUCAGCUUCAAUUAUGCUAUUCUGUACACUAAAAUUGGGUUAAAGUGGGUUAAGAUUAACAUAGUCUUAAAUAAGGACUAAUCAACAGGGAGAAUACUGGAACAAAACAAUAACAAAAUAUCAGAUGUACUAGACUAGGACUAAACCAGGUGUAAAAACUGGAAGUAAAACAGUAAUACACAAAGAUCAGGACUAAAUGACACUGACUAAACCAGGACUCAACCUGGACUAAAUUAGUAAUCUGUUAUUAGUGAGGUCAGUUAGGCCCAUUGCCGUAGACAUGAACAGUUUAAAACUAAAUACCAUAUCUUUUGAAUGGGGGAAAAGUUGCAGAAGUUGCAGAUAACAGGAAGCAGAAACCCAGGGCAAGAACCAAAAGAGAACUUAACUAAAACAGGACUCCUGGGUUAACUAAGCACUAAAAUGAAACAAAACUGGUGCUAAACAAGAUCUAACCCAAACUAGAUCAGGACUGAACCAGGAUUUACUAGGAACUUAUUUCUCAGAGUUAAGAGUAAAUAUAAUACUGCUGCCACAAAUCCUCGCAACGAACUUGAGACCCACUUUUUGACACUUUCUAGGUUUUUCCGUCUCAUCUUUCGCCAUUGUCUCACCUGUCUCUUUUGAGGAAACUAGGUUGCAACUCAAAGCAGUGGCACUUAGCCGGGGCCUCAUAGCUAGCGUACAUGCUACUGCAGCUACUGCUGCUUAAUCUGCAUGAACGAACAAACAGCACAGGAUAGCCAGAGGAGGAAGAGGAUUGAGGGGUGCGUUUGGGGGGCUGAGUGGGUGGCCCGGACGCGAGGGGUACCACGGAGAGGCCAUUUUUUUUCUCUGGCUUUGUCCUGGGCUGUCAGAAUGGGGGCACACUGUUGUUGUUAUUGUAAGGCUAUGAGGCGAUGGCAUGCACUGUAUGGGAUAGACAGCACAAAAGGAGGAAAACAUAGGAUCAGCCUGGGACUAGUUGUUCACUAUUGGUGUCAUCUUGUAAUCCUAAAUGCUUUUGAGUUUUGAUGCCAUCAAGCUUCUUAGUGUUAUUAAUGAGCAACCAACAUAUUAUCAAAUCAAAAUGGCUGUAUUUAAACCAGGAGCAAAACAGGACUAUGCCAUUUUGAUCAAUAAAAAAGAAAACAAGCUUUCUCUAUUCUUGAAGUUAUUCCCAUUCUAAUAUUGUGGUACCCAUCCUUGGGUUUCAAAGUGAUGAAAAAUAUCCACCGUUGCCAUAGCAAUUAGGCUAGUAGAUCAAAACACAUUAUGAUAUCUUUUGAUUGGUCAAAAGUAGUCCAAAUGCCUGUAACAGGAAGCUAUAUUUUCUAUUAUACCGUAUAUUGUGCAGGCCUAAAAUUGAUCCCCCUUUGCUAUUUCCUACCAUGUUGUUGUUCUACCAGACGUUGAGAGAGGAGAGGACUUUUAAACGCGCCAGUUUCCAGAUGAAGAAGCGCUUUCUUUCUAUUGCCACUAAGGAGAUCCCUGAUUGCAAAUGUGUGUAAAUAAUUGUUUUCAAAAGAGAGAGAUAGAUAGACAGGGAUAGGGCCUUAGCUUAAAGUUUUUUAUGCAUCUACUCUUAAGAAAAUGCAACUGAAAAGACAUUCCACUGUGCUCCAUCCUACAACACUGAUGCAUUACUUCUACUUCCCUUUACCAUUUUAGGAAGACCAGGCUAAGGAGGAAAACUAGUGGACUCGAAAACUACCACAAAUGUACGCUCUAAGGUUGAAAAGUUAUGAAAGAAAAAUAUUUAACGUAUAAACUAAAGAUUUAUAUUCACUUUGUAAAUACAGUAGUCAUUAUUAAUAUAUUAACUGUUAAUCUUAAAAAGGUUAAUUAAUUUGGACCAGGUUAAGGCUUCAAACUACGAGGCCAUUUUGUUUUAUUUCUACUUGUAGAAAUAACUUGCGUGAAUGAACCGGGGAGUGAUAGAAAAAGCAUGGUUUAAGACACAGGACGAAUUACAAAAAUAGGAAAAUAUAUAUUGCUUUGUUACACCCCCAUUUUGACUAAAGAUAUCAUUUCAUGGUGGACUGAUUCAUGUAUAAUGUAAGCUUUUGUUAAGACAUUUGUUUAAGAAAAUGCAUUUGGGAAAGAAGAGAGAAUAUUCAACGUGAAAUAUUUUUGCAUGUUUUGCUAAUCCCCCAUUUUUGUCUCACAAGGGCCACUCUCUUUGCAAAUCUCUUGUAAAAUAAAUAAUGUCCCACUUAACGCACAGGCAUGAGUCUUGAACAUUGAUGUGUAAGUUUUCAUUCUGAUGGAUUUUGAUGUAGCCUAUAAGAUUGAAGAAUAUAUUUGUCUUACAUUUUGACAGACUCAAAGCAGCUAUUCAAAGGGAAAGACUAUUAUUAUUUCUGUAGCUGCAAACUUGUGUUUUCUGAAUCUCACUAUAUGCACUCAAAAGAUAAUCAGUAUUAACUUAAUUACCUCUAUCCAUAAUGUAAUAUUUGGCUUGCAGCGUUAUUUGCAUCUCGUACACUAGAGGGCACUGUUCAGGCUUUGCCGUAUUGGACAGUGUUAUGAAAAGGCUUUGGUUCUCAACUGGUGGAUGAUAUUAAAUUAUCCCAUUGAAUUUUAUAAUUUCAUAUAUUUACACUCUACAACUUCAUUUUAAACUAAUCAAAUUGCGUAACAUAUCAAAAUGUUGUAAUUUUGCUGAUUUUGUUUCAACUUUUGUGCUUGACUCCACCAAUUGUGAAUCAUUGCUUGUAUUGGAAUAUCCCUUCACAUUUGGGGAAUAUCUAGCCAUUGCUUCCUUAAUCAGAUUUAAGGUGGACUUUUUUAAGGGUGCUAUACGCUGUUGUCAAAUCAUGAAGCAAUCUUAAAGCCAAUGUGGUAGAGGUCAAAAUAAGUAAUCACUGCUUCCUUACUAAUAUUAGGUACAUGAUUUUUACUACAUUUAGAUAAGAGGAAAUCUCUAUUGACUCCCCUUAUGCUGUUAAAUAAGACAUUUUGCAGUGUCCUUAUGUGACCAUUGCAUAGUAUGUUGCCAAUACUUCGAAUACUCCGAGACUUUUGUUCUUGCAUGAAAUCGAGACACUGUUCUCCUACCUCAUGUUGUGAUAUGGAAAAGAUGUUUUUUAAAAAGCAGAAUACACUGCAUCUCUAAGUGUUUCUCAUCAGUCAUAUUUACCAGUAAAAAUGACAAACUUGUAAAUGCUUUUAGCUAAUACCUCAGUUGUAAAACUAGUGUUUGUUUGUUCGUUUUUAUGUUAUUCUUCUUGCCUCCCCUCUCCCCGAUUUCAGAUCUUGUAAAUAAAAACCCUGUAUAGAGACAAUGGACUUGGAUCAAAUUCAAGUAAAUUUCUGUAGUGUCAAAAUUAAA